AGGGAGGAGAAAGACAAGGCAAGAAAUAAAAGCAAAUCUUUUUAAAUAAUGGAACUAUUUUAAUGUGAGGAUUCUGUCUUUGACAAUGUUCCUUUUCUAAAGCUCUAUUCAAUGUACCCAUAACGGAAGUUUAAUAACACAACUUAUUAUUUAUGAGUAUGUAGACUAUAAACCACAGUAAGUAUAUAUCUUUAUAUCCUGCUGGCAAGAUUUAAAGGAAAAUCUAAAGGAGCAAAAACUAUCACACCACCUUGAUAUCGUCUCUGCCAACUUAUAUUUCCAUUUUGUCAUGAGAAGCGUUUUAGUUCUCAAAUUUUACUUUGCAAAGCAUGCUUAAAAAUAUAAUGUUUUUCUUAAUUUUAUAAUUGAAUUCCAUGGUCAUAAGAACAUGGAAAAGUACUUAAAAGAGUUAUAAUGAUCCAUGACAUCAAUUAUUUAAUUAAAAUAUACAAGUUGAUAAAGUAUAGCCAGAUGUACACAGUAAGCUUGUAAUCGUGGCUGGCUCACUGAUUCCUUCAGAAGUGUUUAUGACUUUCAUUUAUCAUGGUGCUGCAGAAUAGGACGUGCAUAAGCUAGAAAUAGUUUUUAAAUGUAAAUAAAAAUAGAACUCUGAUUGUAUGUUAUAUAAACACACUUGCUGUGUUCAGUGACAUUUGUAACUUUGAAAUGCAAAUUCAUAGAGGUGUCCAUUAGCUGUAUGAGCUGCCCGAGACCCAUCAACUUUCAGGUGCUUAAAAUAAUCAGAAUUACAGUAUUGCACGUUAUUUCAUUAGUAUUUACGGGUGAACACUGCAGGUAACCUUUUGAUAUUACAGAGGAAUGGAUUUACUGCAUGAUUACAGCUGAUUUCAAAUCAAGUAUUUCACUUUAAUAUUUCUAGCAAAAAAAAUAUUUCCUCUCUGCCCUUGAUAGAUUUCCAUUACUGCGCUACCUGCAAAAUAAAUCACAAAUGUUUUGAUAUUAGAACCCUCAGAAAAGUAAUCCAGAACAUUUGAAAAAUGUUAGCAUAAUGCUACUAAUUUGUUUUGCUUCCUGUUAAUAACAAGAGCUCUGUGCUGAUUAUGGGAUGUAAGCUCUAGACCACAGCUCACAGCCCAUUAUAAAUUAUGCUGCUUCUUUCUUAUGAUCCUAUCGUUAAGAAAUCUUCAUUGUGUCCAUUAUAAAUCUUUACCUUUGGGAGUUUUCAUACGUCUUAAAGUGGUAUUUAAGGAUAGCGUAAAACAUUACGUUUUGGGAAAAUACGAUGUUUAAGAACAUCCAGAAAAAAGAUUGCAAAUAGACAAUUUUAUGUUUAUGGCAACUCUUAACAAACGACACCAUUUAAACGCUGUAUAAAUCGAGGUUGUGAGAAAGUGGGAAGGAUCUGAGAUGUCACCCUCCUUACACAGGCUGUGUGGAGAACAUGAACCUGGAUGAGGAUAAAGAACUGUUUUAUGCUCAGAGCACAAUCAAUAGCUAAAGUAACACUGCAGCGUCUGUGCCCCCCAUGCCCAGCCUUCGUGAAGAGCUAUGCUGUAAGAGCUGGGGGGACUAUCUUACACACGUGGUAGGCUCACUCCAUAGGUGAAGGUGGGGAAAAUACAAAUUUCCUUUAUUUUGGAGAGGCACGAGAUCAUUUUCUCCCCUCAUAUUCUAAGAGAGUUGCCCAUUGGGAAGUGUAAACUUCGGCUCUUGCCAGCGUAAGAAAAACCUUACUGGAUGGAAGCAAUUGCUGGACUAUUAGGUUGCAAACUCUAAUUCUCAUGGUAUGUGAAAACUAAAAUAUUUCUGGGGGAAGUGAAAGCAAAUAUUCUCUAUCUUCGGAGGGCUUUUAGAGAGCUCCUGAGUUUUCAUGACUCAGGAGAGAGGCAAACACUAAGAAAGCUGACAAAGGUGCAUUUUUGCCACAUUAUAUAAACCAUAAAAUUUUUCCUUAAUUAUUAUUUUAUAACAGCAGAUAUCUCCCUCAAAUUCUGCAGUAAGUCUCAAUGUUUUUGUCAAUAAAAUUAGAUUAUUUUAAACAUAUUAUUCUAUACGUAUGGUAUAGAAAUUAUAUACACUAUAUAAUUUUUAUUGAUUUAAAAUUAAAUAGUUUACAAAGGGCCUAUAGAAUUCUUAUUUUAAACAGUGAUGAGUAUAAACUUUAAUUUUAUCACGAGUAAUUCAUAUAAAAUUAAUAAAUUUAAGCCAGAUAAAAUGCAUUCAAGAUUAUUGAGCUUUUGAUUUUAUAUUUAAUUUAUUUCAACAGAUUUAUUGAGGUAUGGUUAAUAUUCAAAGAACUGCCACAUUUAAUAUGUACAAUUCGAUGAUUUUGGAAAUCGGCAGUCACCCCAGAAAAAUAUGCGUAUUUAGAUAUCAGUCCCUAUGGUAGAGCAUAUUUAUCUGAAGAUUCCCUUGUACAGAAAUAAAAAAUGCUCAUAAUUAGUGGUAGAUGUGAAUAUUAUAUAGAGGAAUAAGUGUGGAUAUUUUAUCCCAUAUGCUAUUCUUUAUCUAUAUUUAAGCCUGACGGUGCAUGACGAUUUAUUCUAUAUGAUAGUCACUCUAUUUUUCUACAAUGUCAGCAGCAGAGAUAAUAUAAUUCUAUAGUAAGUGACUAUGGGGGAGGGGUUCUGAUUUUCCAGGCUUCUUGAUUCUAUAUUAGUUUGCAUCUGUCAGGGGCAACAGUGACUUUUUACCUUGGUUCUCAGCUAUUGUUUGAGAGUUGUUUUGAAUAUAUAGCUAACAGAUAAUUUUUAAGAAUAUGUGUUCAUAAUCCUUAUGAUUUAAUGUGCUUUGUAUGCUACUUGCCAAUUCUGUGCUGAUACCACCUAGAUUUCAUCCUUUCAGCCAAAAACUAUGCAUUCCACACACAAACUUGCAUUGUCUGCCAAAGGAAUACAGUGAUUUGUAAUAAUUUUUGAGGAAAGGCCGGUGGGUACAGCUCCGAUUAGACCUCUAGCCUGGGAACCUCCAUAUGCUGUGGGAGCGGCCCUAGAAAAGACCAAAAAAAAAAGAAAGAAAAUUAAAAACAUAAGGAAUCAAAUGAGUGAAUACUCCUAAAUUUUCAUAUAAAAUUUCCCAUCUUUUUCAGUGUCUGAUCCACAGCAAAUUUGCAAAACUUUUGUAAAAACACAAGCUGUAUUUAUAAAAUCUUUCCAAAGGAAAUGUUUCCAAAGCAUUCAACCUUUAAGAGAUCACACCCUCCUUCCUUCCAUUUUUCAAUAGUGGCACUUAAUUGCAACAACUUACACAACUGGUGUACACAACUUUGUGAAUAAAUGCCACCAACUGAAGGGAAGCAAAAUUUUACUUAUAGGAAAAUGAGGGUGCCAUACAGUAUAGACUGAAAAGCACCAAAACAGUAUUCUGAAUCCUUUAUAUCUCCACUCAAGUUUAUAGAGAGAACAAUAAAUAAUAUUUAUAUCAUGUGUUAGUUAAAUAUAUAGCAGUAAAAUGUAUUGUCCAUUUUUUUUUCUAGUAAUAUACCUGUAACAGCAUCCUUUUAUUCCUAGAUGAGAACUGAUGAAGUUUAAUGAGAGUUUAAGAAAGUAAUGAG
rnacentral:lncRNA from 1 species